rfam:Gossypium arboreum cultivar AKA8401 contig_11511_7, whole genome shotgun sequence.
UGUUAAAAAUUUCAUCUAUUAGUACUGUUGGAAUCUAACAUGACUAAUAGAAUAAUCAAACAGUGAUGUAUUGCUUAUCAUGUUGACAUAUAAAGGUUAAUUUUUAAUCGUAAAAAUAGAUGAAAUUUUUAGUA